UGGUCAAGUUAUUAAGGGUGCAGGGCGGAUGCCUUGGCACUAGGAGCCGAUGAAGGACGUGAUAAGCUGCGAUAAGCUUCGGGGAGUUGCACGUAAACUUUGAUCCGAAGAUUUCCGAAUGAGGAAACUCACUUAGAGUAAUGUCUAAGUAUCAUUAAGUGAAUACAUAGCUUAAUGAGGGGAACUCAGGGAACUGAAACAUCUAAGUAACUGAAGGAAGAGAAAGAAAUUCGAUUCCGUAAGUAGCGGCGAGCGAACGCGGAUUAGCCCAAACCAAUAAAGUUUUCUUUAUUGGGGUUGCGGACAUAUCAUAACG
rnacentral:rRNA from 1 species